rnacentral:rRNA from 1 species
UACAGAGACUGCAAGCGUUAUUUGGAUUCACUGGGCGUAAAGGGUGCGCAGGCGGCCAAGUGUGUGAGGCGUGAAAGCCUGGGGCUUAACUCCAGAAUUGCACCUCAAACUACAUGGCUAGAGCAUUGGAGAGGGUAGCAGAAUUCACGGUGUAGCAGUGAAAUGCGUAGAUAUCGUGAGGAAUACCAGAGGCGAAGGCGGCUACCUGGACAAUUGCUGACGCUCAGGCACGAAAGCGUGGGGAUCAAACAGG